rnacentral:rRNA from 1 species
CCCUUAGAUGCUCUGGGCCGCACGCGCGCUACACUGACGAAGUCAGCGAGCAUGUCCUACGCCGACAGGUGCGGGGAAUCUUGUCAAACUUCGUCGUGAUGGGGAUUGAUUAUUGAAAUUCUUGAUCAUCAACGAGGAAUUCCUAGUAAGCGCAAGUCAGCAGCUUGCGUUGAUUACGUCCCUGCCCUUUGUACACACCGUCCGUCGCUACUACCGAUUGAAUGGUUUAGUGAGAUCUUCGGAUUGGCGCCACUGCGGCUCAGCAAUGGGCUCGGUGGAUGCCGAAAAGUUGAUCAAACUUGAUCAUUUAGAGGAAGUAAAAGUCGUAACA